UGGGGAAUAUUGGACAAUGGGCGAAAGCCUGAUCCAGCCAUGCCGCGUGAGUGAUGAAGGCCCUAGGGUUGUAAAGCUCUUUCAACGGUGAAGAUAAUGACUGUAGCCGUACAAGAAGCCCCGGCUAACUUCGUG
rnacentral:rRNA from 1 species